rnacentral:rRNA from 1 species
GAUGAACGCUGGCGGCGUGCCUAAUACAUGCAAGUCGAGCGAACAGACGAGGAGCUUGCUCCUCUGACGUUAGCGGCGGACGGGUGAGUAACACGUGGAUAACCUACCUAUAAGACUGGGAUAACUUCGGGAAACCGGAGCUAAUACCGGAUAAUAUAUUGAACCGCAUGGUUCAAUAGUGAAAGACGGUUUUGCUGUCACUUAUAGAUGGAUCCGCGCCGCAUUAGCUAGUUGGUAAGGUAACGGCUUACCAAGGCAACGAUGCGUAGCCGACCUGAGAGGGUGAUCGGCCACACUGGAACGGAGACACGGUCCAGACUACUACGGGAGGCAGCAGUAGGGAAUCUUCCGCAAUGGGCGAAAGCCUGACGGAGCAACGCCGCGUGAGUGAUGAAGGUCUUCGGAUCGUAAAACUCUGUUAUGAGGGAAGAACAAAUGUGUAAGUAACUGUGCACGUCUUGACGGUACCGAAUCAGAAAGCCACGGCUAACUACGUG